UUCUGCUACUAGUUUAGAAUAAUUUAGUCUAGGUUUUGAAGAGUCUAGGUGUUGUAGUUUUGGAGCUGGAGCAGUUCUAGUAUGAUCCAGAUGCAAAAAAGUGGUAAAAUCAACCUUUAUCGAAGUUUCACAAAUCAGAUAAAAGUUACACAAAUC